CACCCACAGUCCGUAGAAAGAGAAGGAGAAGAGCUGCUGUACUUUUUUCUAAUUCAAAAAAGAAAAGGAGCUGAAAAUGUUUUCCAACACGGAACAAUGGCACAACAGAACCAGGGCCUUGCAAGUCAGAUGAAUAGCCAUGACUGUGGAAUUGUCAUGUAGAUGCAUACUGUCCCUAGUGGUUUUGAAGUUCCAGAAAUGCCUACCUUUCAAAAUCCAGAUAUUUUAAAUGUUUAGACUUUAUUGAGCCAUUAAUGAGAAGACAGAGUUAAAGACUUGAACUACUGUACAUCUGAAAUGAAAAAAAGUCUUGCUAUUCUACAAGGUGUGGCAGAAAAGUAA